rnacentral:rRNA from 1 species
AGGACGAACGCUGGCGGCGUGCUUAACACAUGCAAGUCGAGCGGUAAGGCCUUUCGGGGUACACGAGCGGCGAACGGGUGAGUAACACGUGGGUGAUCUGCCCUGCACUUCGGGAUAAGCCUGGGAAACUGGGUCUAAUACCGGAUAUGACCUCCUAUCGCAUGGUGGGUGGUGGAAAGAUUUAUCGGUGCAGGAUGGGCCCGCGGCCUAUCAGCUUGUUGGUGGGGGUAAUGGCCUACCAAGGCGACGACGGGUAGCCGACCUGAGAGGGUGACCGGCCACACUGGGACUGAGACACGGCCCAGACUCCUACGGGAGGCAGCAGUGGGGAAUAUUGCACAAUGGGCGAAAAGCCUGAUGCAGCGACGCCGCGUGAGGAUGACGGCCUUCGGGUUGUAAACCUCUUUCAGCAGGACGAAGCGCAAGUGACGUACCUGCAGAAGAAGCACGGCUAACUACGUGACCAGCAGCCGC